UACGUAGGGGGCUAGCGUUGUCCGGAUUUAUUGGGCGUAAAGAGCGUGUAGGCGGCCAGGUAGGUCUGCUGUGAAAACUCGAGGCUCAACCUCGAGACGUCGGCGGAAACCAUCUGGCUAGAGUCCGGAAGAGGAGAGUGGAAUUCCUGGUGUAGCGGUGAAAUGCGCAGAUAUCAGGAAGAACACCCGUGGCGAAGGCGGCUCUCUGGGCCUUACCUGACGCUGAGGAGCGAAAGCAUGGGGAGCAAACAGG
rnacentral:rRNA from 1 species